rnacentral:rRNA from 1 species
CCUACGUGAGGCAGCAGUGAGGAAUAUUGGUCAAUGGGCGCGAGCCUGAUCCAGCCAAGUAGCGUGAAGGAUGACUGCCCUACGGGUUGUAAACUUCUUUUAUAAAGGAAUAAAGUGAGGCACGUGUGCCUUUUUGUAUGUACUUUAUGAAUAAGGAUCGGCUAACUCCGUGCCAGCAGCCGCGGUAAUACGGAGGAUCCGAGCGUUAUCCGGAUUUAUUGGGUGUAAAGGGAGCGUAGAUGGGUUGUUAAGUCAGUUGUGAAAGUUUGCGGCUCAACCGUAAAAUUGCAAUUGAUACUGGCUGCCUUGAGUACAGUUGAGGUAGGCGGAAUUCGUGGUGUAGCGGUGAAAUGCUGAGAUAUCACGAAGAACUCCGAUUGCGAAGGCAGCUUACUAAACUGCCACUGACAUUGAGGCUCGAAAGUGUGGGUAUCAAACAGGAUUAGAUACCCUAGUAGUC